rnacentral:rRNA from 1 species
GGACCCGCACAAGCGGUGGAGCAUGUGGUUUAAUUCGAUGCAACGCGAAGAACCUUACCUGGUCUUGACAUCCUGCGAACUUUCUAGAGAUAGAUUGGUGCCUUCGGGAACGCAGUGACAGGUGCUGCACGGCUGUCGUCAGCUCGUGUUGUGAAAUGUUGGGUUAAGUCCCGCAACGAGCGCAACCCCUAUUGAUAGUUACCAUCAUUAAGUUGGGUACUCUAUUGAGACUGCCGCUGACAAGGCGGAGGAAGGUGGGGACGACGUCAAGUCAUCAUGGCCCUUACGACCAGGGCUACACACGUGCUACAAUGGGUAUUACAGAGGGCUGCGAAGGUGCGAGCUGGAGCGAAACUCGCCUACGUGAAGGCGGAAUCGCUAGUAAUCGCAGGUCAGCAUACUGCGGUGAAUACGUUCCCGGGCC